UGAGAUUUAGAGUUAGAAAUUUGAGUUGAAUAGGUGUUGAUUCUAGAUCAAUAAUUCUGAGAGGAGUGUUGUUGGUGCGUUUUGUAAAUUCUAGUUGAUGCAAUAAAGUCAAGUUCAUUCAAUCUACGUCUUCUGCUUUUAUCUAUUAGUGAUUUUCUGGAUCUCGACGAUCUGAUCAACGGCACAGAAGCGACGCAAUCAAGUUAAUCUCAGGAGCGGCGUAAUCAGAUUGACGUCAUAGAAGCGGCGCAACUGGAGGUAAUAUCAGGAGCGGUGUAACUAUAGAUUCAGCUCCGGGAGGUUCGCGGUGGGAUGCCGGAGCAAGGCCGCGGCCGCGGUGCUGCUGCCGGGCGGCGGGUUGUAGCGGCGGCUGAUGUCGACGACCAAGGGGAAGAGCACGAGGACCAAGCGGAUCGCGAGGGAGACCGGCUGCACGCAGCGGGAGCUUCGCCGCGCCGUCAAGCUCAGGAAGAAGCUCAGCGGGAGCUUCGCCUGCGGAUGACGGGCAUGCCAGGAAGUUGUCCCAUGAUGCACAUGAUGCACCGUAGGCAUGUUCAAAGGUAGAAUCCACUACGAACUUUUAUCCAAUCUACGUUAGCAACAGUAACAAUUAGGGAUAAUUGUAUAUAUGAUCCUACUUUGAAGACGAACUACGGAACUAACCCUUCUUUAUCAGCUUUGCCGAUUUGACUCUCUUUUCAAAAACAAAGCAGUCGAGUGACCUUAUUCC